GCCGGGCGUGGUGGCGCACGCCUGUAAUCCCAGCACUCGGGAGGCUGAGACAGGAGGAUCGUUGUGAGUUCGAGGCCAGCCUGGGCUACGAAGUGAGCUUAAGGCCAGCCUGAAUUGCAUAGUGAAACCCUGUCUCAAAAAAGACAAGGAAAAAAAAAAAAAAAAUGAAUUUACUAUGUAGCCCAGGCUGGCCUCAAACUCACAGCGAUCCUGUUGCCUCAGU
rnacentral:sRNA from 1 species